ensembl:lncRNA
AUGCUUGAGGACUGGCAGUGGACAGACAUUUUCAAGUUUUCAGUAAGAAUAUUUCUUCAUUUUUGCUGUGUUGCAGUGAUGGCUGUCCUUCUGCAAGUUUCUCCCAUCUCCACACAACCAGGAGCACAGCCAGGGUAUCUUGUGGCAAAAUCCACUAUUUCCAAGAUGUGCUCAUGCAAGAUUUGGUGGUUGACACACCACGCAAGAUCCAGCCCAACAUUGAAUCCCAUGCCCCUGAGGGAUUGGUCAGUGGGCAUAAGUUCAUCCAUCACUCCCUAUGUGCUGUCCAGAUGAAAGCAGCUUUGCUCCCAGGUGUGCUGAGUCUAAACAGUCUCCAACAGCUUCUGGUCAAGGGCCUCCACUUUGUCUGCCAACAUCUUGGGGUUGAACAAGUCGAUGGCCCUAUGAUGGGGCAGAGUUAGACAUGUAGAUGAUGAUUCACUGUAACCGUCUCUGCAACCAGUCACUUUCACCAAGCGGGACAGCUGGGCAGUACUAACAAGAGACUCCUGGCCUCCUGUUUCAAAGAGUAAUCAUUAACCAUGGUGACUAGCAGCAACCCUCAGUGGCCACUAGGGGUUGCACCGAUUAAUCGACUAGUUGACUUUAAUGCUCUGCCAUGCUGCUUUCAGCUUGACGUUGACUAGUCGCUGGUCCUAUAGAGGGUGCAACAGGAUAAGAAAUCUUUGAAGGACUUCAAUAUUUACGCUUCAUUUCCAAAUAGUUAAAAUGACAAAUAAAUACAUACUCCGAAAGCGCUCCACAAGACGUGUGUGAUUAUGCAUACUUAUGCUCAAAACUGAACGGGAGAAUGCACGUUUUAAAUAGCUUAUUGUACAGGUAAGUUAAUCGCUGUUCUAAUCUGAUGUGCUGCUGCACAGUACCGCACACACAUAGGCUUCAGACAAUAGCGUGUAUUGUCAACACUGUUCUGUGAUUUCUCAAUAAAAUAGCUUAGAGACCGAAAAGUUCUAGUAUAUUUUUCUUCAUAAUUAAAUCCUACAGCUUCACUACUAGUAGAGAGAUGCUGCCAGGUAGAAUUCAUUCACACACGCAAUCGCCUCCACUAAGGCUGAGUCUCGGGCCAGCAAUACCACGACUGAGGUGCCCUUGAUCAAGGCACCGAACCCACAACUGCUCCACGGGCGCCGCAGCAUAAAUGGCUGCCCAUUGCUCUGGGUGUGUGUUCACGGUGUGUGUGUGUGUUCACUGCUGUGUGUGUGCACUUUAGAUGGGUUAAAUGCAGAGCACAAAUUCUGAGUAUGGGUCACCAUACUUGGCUGUAUGUAUGUCACUUUCACUUUUUCACUUUUUAAUGCAUUCAUAUAAAUGUAAUCUUUACUGUGCUACUUCUGUAUCUGAUUUGGAAUGAGCAGAAAUCUGUUUAUAUUACUCAAAUCUGUGAGUAAUAUAAAGAACCAAUGACAAAAGAACUAUAAACUUAUAAAAAUAAGCUGUUAUAGGAGCACUAGCCAUGUGGGCAGUCCUGUGUCAUAUGCCAUAGCUGUGCACAAGGUGUUUGUCACAGCUCCAGACUUAUCUGUUCAUUAAUGACAUCACCCACGACUAGUCGACUUCAACUCAACUUCCAACACAUUUCAGAUUUUGUGGACCACUAGUAUGAACAUGAGUAGAACUGACCUCAUUUAUCAAGGCAAGGCAAGGCCCUUGAGAACAGUUGGUUAAAGUUAUUGAGUUGUGUUGGUUCUGAGCACUACACCAUUUGGUAGCAAAAAGAACAUGUUUGUUACCUAAUGUUAGUCUAACUUUCCAAAGUGUGUAUAUAUAUAUAUAUAUAUAUGUAUGUAUGUAUGUAUGUCAUGUUACGCUGUUGAGGGAACACGCUGGAGUCAUGAGGAAACAUUUAACAGCUUUUAAUCAAAGAAACACGGAACAAUCCACAAUAAACACUUGAGCCAACACAUGUGGACAACAAGUAGACCUAACAGAAACAGACGGCAUAGACUAUGACUUAAAUACAGGGGAUGAUUGGGGAAACAUAGGUGCAUGGAAUGACUAAUCAAACUAAUAAGACAGAACGAGGACAGGAACAAGACCAAAUAAGGAAAAACAGGAAGGACUAUGGUGGCAAAACAGGUCUAAAAUUAGUGUGACAAAGUCCAUUGUUCAGCUAAGGUUUUAGUGUCUUAUCCACAGGGUGAAGCAUGCUGUCUGCACCGGCUGUGUGAUACAGACAUCCAAAUCAACAGGAGCAUUAUCCUUUUGUAAGCCACCAGUUAAAGCAUGAGCAUGAGUGUAUCUGGCAUGUGGGAAUGGAACUGGAAAACACUGAAAAUAUAAAACAAAAAAGCAUAAUGACAAUACCAUUAUUUUGUCAUUAUUUAUGUCUAGUAAUGUAUAUGUCAUAUUAUAAAACUUACAUAUAGAGUAUGAUAGUGAAUUGUUUGGAGAGACAAUUUAAUAUGCAGUAUAUAACUUUAGUUAUAGUAUUUUACAAAAAAAAAAAAAAAAUAAUAAUAAUAAUAAUAAUAUAACAUGCUGCCUGGGAAAAAAUACUCCAAAUGGACUGCAAAUACCACCUUACCCUACUUCCCCUAUAAUAUAUAAAUUUAUAGAGUACUACUCUGCAUAUAGCCAUGUUAUCACAUCAUGUUCCAGUCAUGGUGGCUCAGCUGAGGCCACAGUGUUCACAGGCUCACCCAAGUGUAUAGUGGACAAUUGGAAAAAUGUCACCUCGUCUGAUGAAUCUCAAAUUCUGCUGAGACAUGCAGAUGGUAUGUCCAUUAUUAGAACAGCAUGAAUCCAUGUAUCCAUGUGAUCAGUGGUUCAAGCUAAUGGUAGUUGUGGAAGGGUGUGGAAAAUCUCUGACCACAGACCAUUUGAUUCAUAUUACACACAAGCAC